rnacentral:lncRNA from 1 species
UGGUGGGCUCAUGACACUCGUAGCUCACGUUCUCACUUUCCGAACCCUAAGCCAAAACCCUAGGGUACACUCCAAAGAAACUUGCGCCCACUUGUUUCUUUCCUUUUUCUCCUUUUCUUUUCUUUUCUCACACAGGAAAGCUCUCUCACACCACCCUUCUUUCUCAGAUGUCUUCUGCGCAUGCCCUAUCUUAUCUCCUUUUUAAAAUGAUGCAAGA